GUUUUUGAUGAAGGAAUAACACCAUAGGAUGACGUUAAGAUCUAAAAAGUCGAUUUUACACAACGUUGGCCCUUUAAAGUGCAGAGAGAUUGGCUUGGACUGUAAGCAAAUAAGACACAAAACCAGAUGACCCUUAAUUUCCAGGCAUGAUUUAUUGAAAACACACCAAAUUUAUACUCUACAAACCAGUAUUUUUCCAUUAUGUUUGACAAGCGUAAUAUUUGCCUCUGGGUAUUAGUAAAAUUAACAUAUUACAUUCUGUCACUGUGGCAUCGCUCCUGCUCGCUACGAAAGCUCCGACGGCUUUACUUCUCUAGGAAAUCAAACCCAUUUGUCAAAUGCUCUCUACCUCAUUAAAAGUUUAUAUUACAAUGUAAAUCAAGGCAGCAACCCGCCAACAGUCUAAACUACUUAGGAGGGGGACAGUGAGGUGGAAGCUGGGGUAGAGGGGCCUGGAUGGAUGGAUGGAUGGAUGGAUGGAUUGAUGGAUGGAUUGAUGAGCUGAAUGGCGGUGGUCAGGGAGGGUUGGGGGUCUGACACUAGGGGUUAGAACCCCUUUCCACAA